UGGGGUGACUGCGUACCUUUUGUAUAAUGGGUCAGCGACUUAUAUUCUGUAGCAAGGUUAACCGAAUAGGGGAGCCGAAGGGAAACCGAGUCUUAACUGGGCGUUAAGUUGCAGGGUAUAGACCCGAAACCCGGUGAUCUAGCCAUGGGCAGGUUGAAGGUUGGGUAACACUAACUGGAGGACCGAACCGACUAAUGUUGAAAAAUUAGCGGAUGACUUGUGGCUGGGGGUGAAAGGCCAAUCAAACCGGGAGAUAGCUGGUUCUCCCCGAAAGCUAUUUAGGUAGCGCCUCGUGAAUUCAUCUCCGGGGGUAGAGCACUGUUUCGGCAAGGGGGUCAUCCCGACUUACCAACCCGAUGCAAACUGCGAAUACCGGAGAAUGUUAUCACGGGAGACACACGGCGGGUGCUAACGUCCGUCGUGAAGAGGGAAACAACCCAGACCGCCAGCUAAGGUCCCAAAGUCAUGGUUAAGUGGGAAACGAUGUGGGAAGGCCCAGACAGCCAGGAUGUUGGCUUAGAAGCAGCCAUCAUUUAAAGAAAGCGUAAUAGCUCACUGGUCGAGUCGGCCUGCGCGGAAGAUGUAACGGGGCUAAACCAUGCA
rnacentral:rRNA from 1 species